GGGCCAUAUAUUACUCACUCACACACACGAAAACACACUCUGAAAUUCAUACUCUUUUCUUCGUUUUUGAGACUAAUUUUCACACUGUCGAGAGAAAUUUUAAGAGAAUUCACUAUCUUCUCCUCAUUUUUUUUAAUUCAAACAAAAAUCUGGAUUUCAACCUCUAGUCUUCAGAUUUAGAAAAAGUUUAAAACUCCCAAAAAGGCAAGGAAAAAGGUCAUAAAAAGGGAUGAAGAAGGAAGUCUAGAGUUGGUUUUCUGAUUUCUAUUCAAUCACUAUAUUUUCUGGUUUUCUCUGAGUCGAUUGAGCUGAUAGAGGUGUUGAAGUUAUUGAAUCCACUGUUGCUGGACUUGCUGGAUUUCCUAUUUCAUUUUCAAACCAUCCUUUGACCAUUCUCUAUUAUUCUUUGGUUACUUAGGUGAUAUGAUGGAGGCGUGAUAAUGGGCGUUUGGUAUGAUUUGGAAGAGUGUUGGAAUGACAAAAUAGCAACAAAAACAUCACAAUUUGAAGUCCGAGCAAAAAAGCUGCCUCCCCACGGUUAGCUCGCAUGGCUUGGCAAUACCACGGAGCACUACCAGGCUGCCUAGGGAGACAGUACAUAGAUUAAGGCAAAUAGCGAGCUCACCGUGAGGAAGCUCCUUGCCAGAACAUUAGAGCGCAAUAAAUGUUUCACGUGAUUAAAAGAAGUGGUUCUUUCUAAAUGCAUAAAUGACUAUCUCAAAUUAUGCAUACUAUGUUUUUCAACAUAAACUUUCAUCAAAUUCUUUGAUACUUAAUAACUAUGUCUAAGCUCUUAUAUGCUAUGCAAAGUUGCAGACAAUGGCAGAGCCACAUUCAACAACAACGGAAAAUUACAUUGUAUUGCUAGAUAAUUUUUUCUAUUUUAUGUAUAUUUACUA